rnacentral:rRNA from 1 species
UGCGCAAUGGACGGAAGUCUGACGCAGCGACGCCGCGUGGAUGACGAAGGCCUUCGGGUUGUAAAAUCCUUUUCCGGGCGAUGAGGAAGGACACUAGCCUGGGAAUAAGCGUCGGCUAACUACGUGCCAGCAGCCGCGGUAAGACGUAGGACGCGAGCGUUAUCCGGAUUUACUGGGCGUAAAGCGCCUGCAGGCGGUCAGGUAAGUCGGUUGUGAAAGCCCCGUGCUCAACGCGGGGAGGCCAAGCGAUACUGCGUGACUUGAGGGCGGAAGAGGGGAGUGGAAUUCCCGGUGUAGCGGUAAAAUGCGCAGAUAUCGGGAGGAACACCAGUGGCGAAGGCGGCUCCAUGGACCGCACCUGACGCUCAGAGGCGAAAGCUAGGGGAGCGAACAGGAUUAGAGACCCUGGUAGUCCUAGCCCUAAACGCCGGAUGCUAGGUGUAGGGCUGAUGAGGCUCUGUGCCGGAGCGAACGCGAUAAGCAUCCCGCCUGGGAACUACGGCCGCAAGGCUAAAACUCAAACGAAUUGACGGGGACCCGCACAAGCAGCGGAGCGUGUGGUUUAAUUCGAUGCUACACGAAGAACCUUACCUGGGUUUGACAUGCUGGUGGUACCGAACCGAAAGGGGAGGGACCCUUCGGGGAGCCAACACAGGUGCUGCAUGGCUGUCGUCAGCUCGUGCCGUGAGGUGUCGGGUUAAGUCCCGUAACGAGCGCAACCCUUGCUCUUAGUUAUACGUGUCUAAGGGGACUGCCGGCGACAAGCCGGAGGAAGGUGGGGAUGACGUCAAGUCAGCAUGGCCUUGAUAUCCAGGGCUACACACACGCUACAAUGGCCGGUACAAAGGGCAGCCAAGCCGCGAGGUGGAGCGAAUCCCAGCAAAGCCGGUCCCAGUUCGGAUUGCAGGCUGCAACCCGCAUGCAUGAAGUUGGAGUUGCUAGUAACCGCGCGUCAGCCAUAGUGCGGUGAAUACGUACCCGGGUCUUGUACACACCGCCCGUCACGUCAUGGGAG